AACGCGCUUCGAACCUAAUGGGGCGAGUUGCUUUUGUUGCAAAAUGAUUGCUAAGCACAGCCACCGCUCCCAAAACUGAGGCAACUUCCGUGCUUUUCUCACACCAACCGCACAGUUGCUUUGCUAAUCUUGAUUGCGCAGGCACAGAUGGGGAAGCAGAAGUGGCUAGCAGCAAUUUCUUGCGCAAGCCGUGAAAUAAAUCCCACACCCGGAAGCAGGGCGCUUCUUGCUGUUGUUGUUGUUGCCCGCUGCUUUUGGCCCCGCAGACCGGAAAAGGCCGCGCAUCCUUACUGGCGGAGCAGCGGCUGCCCGCGGAGGAAGGAGCUGGCACGGGCGGGAACUCCGAAAAAUGGCGCAGCGCCGCAGGUCGGGCCAGAGUCGCUCUUUCGAGCUCUGGGGGCUCUUGCGGCCACUGAAAACGGAGGAAGGAAAGGCGGCUCCCGAGGACGAAGAUGCAGAGAGCAACGACGACGAGGACGGUGACCCCGACCCGGAGGAUUUCGAAGAUGUUUUCGGUGGCGCGAACCAGGAGCCACUUCACACACCAGCGCGCAAGACCCUUAUAAUUCAGGAGGAAGAUUCCCAAAAGACAUACGAAGUGAUUGGGCGUUUUCCAUUGGUUGAUCCCUGGUGGAAAGUGAAUGCCAAACUUACGCGGUCUCAAUCAAAGUACUAUAUGAAGAGCUACCCAUCUUAUUUUCUGCAGCAUGAUGCAGGGAGAGAUAUUAUUUCACUGUUCUUUAGAGAAUGUGCUGUCCCACAGUUAUUUCAAGAUGCAUUUUUUGAAUGGUUUCCUAAAGAGUCUUUAAACUUUGCACAUCUUGAAAAAACGCUGAAACAGUUUCAGGAGUCAAAACUUCAGGAAGGAGUGAUAUCUACAAAUACCCAAAGUCAAACGUGUACAGAUACCAAAAACUUUGACAUUUUUCAUUAUGUUAAGGAGUCAUUUGCAGGGAAAGCUGUACUAGUAGCCCUGGCCUUUCCGAAUAUAUUGGAAUUAAUGCCGCUGCUUCUGCCACGAGCUGUUUCUUGUUGCAUUGCAAAGUUGGACUGGAGCAAAAUACACGCUGAAGAUUAUACAUUGAGAAAAUUGCAUAGAAUCUUGAAGGAAAAGCCAUGGAAACUUGGAUUCGGAGAAAUAAUUAAAAGAGAGCUGCAUACUUACUUUGGUGAGGCAUCUUGGAAGGCCAUAUGCGAGUGCAGACAUAUUCUUGAGAAGAUUCCCGAUUUGCAGAAGAAUGCACUAAUGGUAUAUGAAAAGCUCAAACAGAGCUGUGCAGAAAAUGGAAAUACAUAUGAAGAACAGCAUGAACUGACACGUAUGGUAUCAAAGAAUAUGCCCGUGGAACAUGCCUGGGAAUCAAUUAAAUUUAUGAAAGAUGAAAACAUUGUGGUUACCGAGAGAGAGCUUGUGUUCCUUCCUCAUUUGUUCAAUUCUGAAAAGCAAAUUGCAACUUCUGUAUGCGAGCUCAGCAAUAAAACGCCAUGGCAGCUGCGUGCCGAUCCGAAAAAGGUACUUAAUAGAAAUGUACAUGCUACUAACAUGAGAGAUGUAUUUGCUAAGAGUGAAAUAAACGAUGAGGAACUUUGCGCAGUGGACCAGAAGGAGCCUGGCAAUUCCUCAGAUGUGCAAGAAAACUCUAACCAUGAUUCUGACUUUGAAGAACCCGAGAAGGAAUUGAAACACAAAGUAGAAGUAGAUCCAGAUCAGGAAAGUGCUAUAGAACUGAUCUGUUCCAAUCCAGUGACGAUCGUAAGUGGGAAAGGUGGUUGCGGGAAAACAACAAUAGUUACCCACCUUUUCUGCUAUCUAAGAGAGGCAGAAAAUACAGAAGCUAUGAAUGCCUGUAAAGAUUUUGAAGCUGACCUCGAUGCAUCUGAAGAAUGGAAUACUUUCGGCCAUGCUUCCAACAUGAUUCAAUGCAGAAAUGAAUCUUUAAAUGUUUUAUAUACAGCACCUACAGGGAGGGCAGCUUCUCUCUUGUCUGAUAAAACAGGACAACCUGCUUAUACUCUGCAUCAGGUUACCUACAGUUUCUCUAAAUGGAGUGAAAAUAAAUGCAAUCCAUGGAAAUUUUCUUCAGUAAAUGUCUUGGUUGUAGACGAAGGAAGUAUGGUGCCUGUGAGAAUGCUUAGCAGGGUUUUACGACUCUUGUUGGACCAUGCCCGGCUUGCGAAGAUUAUUAUUCUUGGUGAUGUUAGGCAGUUACCCAGUAUUGAGCCUGGUAAUAUGCUGGCCGAUAUUUUUGAGAGUCUUCAGUCAAGGGGCUGGUCUAUAGAACUGAAAACUAAUCACAGGGCUGAGUCACAGUUAAUUGUGGAUAAUGCAACAAGAAUCUCUCAGCAGAAAUACCCCAAGUUUGAUGAAGUGCUCAGAAUGUCGGAAGAGAACAAAACGUGGGCAGUGCCAAGUGCUGAGAAGAAAUUUAUUUUUGUUGUUUUACCUCCUGGAGAUGACGGUCACUAUUUGCAAUGCGCCAUCGAAGCUUUGCUUAAAAAUGGGCCGGGACUCCAAGAUCCUAAGCAGUCACAGUUCAUUGCUUUCAGAAGGAAGGACUGUGACAUCAUAAAUGAAAUCUGCUGUAGGCACUACUCGGGGCACACAACACGAAACCAUAAAAAUCGGCUGCAAUUUUUGCGUGGUGACAAAAUCUGUUCCUCAAGGAAUGCGUAUAUGAAAGAUCUUCUCGCUGGGAGUUCUGAUCCUUGCACUUCCAAAGACUGCUCAAGAAGGGAAGCUCGUCUCUCGGGUCGUGAUGCUGAUGAUGACCGUAAUAACAAUUACGAUGAUAGGCGGUUGUGCAAUGGAGAAAUAUUCUUCAUUAAAGAGGAUAAGGAAGUCAAUGGUCGCCGUUUCCUGACUAUUGGCAUAACUGAUGGACCUGAGUAUGUCAUGCACUAUAGAGCCCUCCAGAAACACUCUAAGAUAAAGCAUGCCUGGGCCAGAACUAUUCACACAUUUCAGGGUUCUGAGGAAAAUACGAUUGUAUAUGUUGUUGGCGAUACACCUCGCCAGAACUGGCAGCAUGUUUACACAGCUAUCACCAGAGGACGUUGCCGAGUCUAUAUUAUUGCUGAAGAAGCCAAACUCCAAGCAGUCAUUGCUAAGAAGAGUUUCCGCAGGAAAACACGUUUAAAAGCGUUCAUGAAAGAUGCAACUGCAGAAGAAGCGGGUGGUUCCGAGCAAACAUCACCUCAAAAGAGCUGGCAGAGUCAGCAAGAGAAUGACACGUGUGACGUUGCUUCUCAUUCUGGAAAUAGUCGAGGGGAACCUGCUGUACCUGCUGUUUCUCUUAAAAUGGAAGUUGACGAUGCAGUUGUUGAACCGGCUGGCACUGCAGAGGAAACUUCGGGUGGACUCAAAAGGCAACAAACAUUUCCAGAUGAUUGCUCAAGUCCUUCAAAAGUAUGUUUGGUAACAGAAAAUACCUCCCCACUUGGAACUACCAAACUUCAAAGCUUGACACUGAAGAGUCCACAUGCCAAGCAGCUUUUCCCGUCCUAGCAAAAGCUGUUGUGAGUCAAACUAUUUGCAUAUUUCGCACUUCUAAAAAGAUACCGUUAGUCUAGAAGGUUUGGAGUCAAUGGACAUCGAUAAUUGCCAUUCCCAAUGGCUUCAGAAAUAGCACUGUGGACAGAAUGGAACACUGUGGCACCUCCACAGCCAACCUGCCAGGAGGCCAACUAAUCCUCACUUCAAUCCCGUCCCUGAAAAUGACCUCUUGAGAUAGGACCCAAACCACUUACAAGACAGUGCCCACAACUGCCACUCCCAGAAGCUGAUCCAGGAGGAUACCGUGGUGGCUAAGAGAUCGAGCGUAAUCGAUAGGGUUGCACCCCUCCAUCUCUCCUGAUAAAAGCUCAUCAUCCAUCAGGAUGACCAAGGCUGCUUCAUUCCCAAGGCUUAUCAGUCAUGAUAAGCAGGUUGAAUCUAUGGAAGUUUACUGAGAAAUAAGUUCCACUGUGUUUGACAAGACCUUGUGUCAAGUGAGUGAGCCUAGGCUUGCAGCUUUUCAGCAUUCAAUGAUUAUUGUCUUUACGUUAUGUUGCGCUUAAUUCAUAAUCCAUCUGGUAUGCAGGCUGAGUCCCUACCUGCCCACUGACUGUCUCUCCAGAGUGGUGCAUGCUCUGGUUAUCUCUCGCUUGGACUACUGCAAUGCGCUCUACGUGGGGCUACCUUUGAAGGUGACCCGGAAACUACAACUAACCCAGAAUGCGACAGCUAGACUAGUGACUGGGAGCGGCCGCCGAGACCACAUAACACCGAGACCUGAAAGACCUACAUUGGCUCCCAGUACAUUUCCGAGCACAAUUCAAAGUGUUGGUGUUGACCUUUAAAACCCUAAACGGCCUUGGUCCAGUAUACCUGAAGGAGCGUCUCCACCCGCAUCGUUCUGCCCGGACACUGAGGUCCAGCGCCGAGGGCCUUCUGGCGGUUCCCUCGCUACGAGAAGCCAAGUUACAGGGAACCAGGCAGAGGGCCUUCUCGGUAGUGGCACCCACCCUGUGGAAUGCCCUCCCACUAGAGGUCAAAGAGAACAACAAUUACCAGACCUUUAGAAGGCAUCUCAAGGCAGCCCUGUUUAGGGAAGCUUUUAAUGUUUGAUGGAUUUCUGUAUUUUAGUGUUUUGUUGGAAGCCGCCCAGAGUGGCUGGGGGAACCCGGCCAGAUGGGCGGGGUAUAAAUAAUAAAAUUAUUAUUAUUAUUAUUAUUAUUAUUAUUAUUAUUAUUAUUAUUAUUAUUAUUACCGGGUAUUAUUAUUAUUAUUGACUGGGGUGUCUUCCCUACCAUUCAGUUCACAACACACGAUGAAUGAGGGAGCUGAACUUAGCUGUGCAACUGAAUUUCAAAUACAGUUUCCACUACUACAGUUUCCUGAAGAAGUGUGCAUGCACACGAAAGCUCAUACCAAAAUAAAAACUUAGUUGGUCUUUAAUGUGCUACUGAAGGAAUUUUUUUAUUUUACUUCGACCCAGACCAACACGGCUACCUACCUGUAACCAGUUUCCACUACUGUAAAUGCUGAACUUGACUGCAGAAUGCUUUCUGUUCUACAAAACAACAACAAGCCCUUGAUACGGCUUUUCUAUGUUAGUAUGGCUCACUCUUACCUGGAGCAG